rnacentral:rRNA from 1 species
UACGUAGGGUGCGAGCGUUAAUCGGAAUUACUGGGCGUAAAGCGUGCGCAGGCGGUUCGCCAAGUCAGGUGUGAAAGCCCCGAGCUUAACUUGGGAACUGCGCUCGAAACUACUUGGCUGGAGUGUGGCAGAGGAAGGUGGAAUUCCACGUGUAGCGGUGAAAUGCGUAGAGAUGUGGAGGAACACCGAUGGCGAAGGCAGCCCCCUGGGAUAACACUGACGCUCAUGCACGAAAGCGUGGGGAGCAAACAGG